rnacentral:rRNA from 1 species
CAAACUCUUAUAAAUAAGUAUAAUGAGCAUAACAAAGUGAACUGAAACAUCUAAGUAACUUGUAAAGAAAUCAAACGAGAAUUUUUUAGUAGUGGUGAGCGAAAAAAAAAAAAAAUGUUAAAAAUUUUAUAUACAUUCACGGUUAUUGAAUAAUGUUAAAACAUAGCAAAAUAAGGUAAAAGUCCUGUAAAUAACUAAAAAUAAGCGCUAAAAGUAAAUAGGUAGCAAAACUUAUUGAAAACAGGGGUACCACCCUCUAAGCCUUUAAAUAUUGUUAACCGAAAGUGAACUAGUACCGUGAGGGAAAAAUUGAAAGAGAAAUUUGAAAAAAAUUAAUAAUUAACAUAAAAUCCGAUAUAAAAAAGCAGUUGAUGACAAGCAUUGUUAACAACGUACCUUUUGUAUAAUGGGUCA